rnacentral:rRNA from 1 species
CCCUUAGAUGUUCUGGGCCGCACGCGCGCUACACUGAUGCAUUCAACGAGUUUCUUCCUGGUCCGAGAGGAAUGGGUAACCUUUUGAAAGUGCAUCGUGAUAGGGAUAGACUAUUGCAAUUAUUGGUCUUCAACGAGGAAUUCCUAGUAGACGUAGUUCAUCAGACUGCAUCGAUUACGUCCCUGUCCUUUGUACACACCGCCCGUCGCUACUACCGAUUGAACGGUUUAGUGAGGGCCUCGGAUUGGUCUCGGCCCGCUCUUUACCGGGCGGCGCCGUUGGUCGAGAAGACGCUCGAACUUGAUCGUUUAGAGGAAGUAAAAGUCGUAACA